AUUGAACGCUGGCGGCAGGCCUAACACAUGCAAGUCGAACGGAGUGGCGUACGUGUUCGUCAUUUCUAUGAAUCUUCCUGGUAGUUGGGGAUAACGUCCGGAAACUGGCGCUAAUACCGCCUCCUUUCAGCUUAGCCUAGGUCGGAUUAGCUAGUUGGUGGGGUAAAGGCCUACCAAGGCGACGAUCCGUAACUGGUCUGAGAGGAUGAUCAGUCACACGGGAACUGAGACACGGUCCAGACUCCUAAGGUAGGCAGCAGUGGGGAAUAUUGGACAAUGGGCGAAAGCCUGAUCCAGCAAUGCCGCGUGUGUGAAGAAGGUCUUCGGAUUGUAAAGCACUUUAAGUUGGGAGGCGUUACCAACAGAAUAAGCACCGGCUAACUUCGUGCCAGCAGCCGCGGUAAUAC
rnacentral:rRNA from 1 species